UACGGGGGGGGCAAGCGUUGUUCGGAAUUACUGGGCGUAAAGGGCUCGUAGGCGGUCACGCACGUCCGUUGUGAAAUCGCUCGGCUCAACUGGGCGGGGUCAGCGGAUACGGCGUGGCUGGAGCAAGCUAGGGGGCAAUGGAAUUCCCGGUGUAGUGGUGGAAUGCGUAGAUAUCGGGAGGAACACCAGUGGCGAAGGCGGUUGCCUGGAGCUUUGCUGACGCUGAUGCGCGAAAGCGUGGGGAGCGAUCCGG
rnacentral:rRNA from 1 species